rnacentral:rRNA from 1 species
GACGAACGCUGGCGGCGUGCUUAACACAUGCAAGUCGAACGGAAAGGCCCUGCUUUUGUGGGGUACUCGAGUGGCGAACGGGUGAGUAACACGUGAGUAACCUGCCCUUGACUUUGGGAUAACUUCAGGAAACUGGGGAUAAUACCGGAUAGGAGCUCAUGCCGCAUGGUGGGGGUGGGAAAGUUUCGGCGGUUGGGGAUGGACUCGCGGCUUAUCAGCUUGUUGGUGGGGUAGUGGCUUACCAAGGCUUUGACGGGUAGCCGGCCUGAGAGGGUGACCGGCCACAUUGGGACUGAGAUACGGCCCAGACUCCUACGGGAGGCAGCAGUGGGGAAUAUUGCACAAUGGGCGGAAGCCUGAUGCAGCAACGCCGCGUGCGGGAUGACGGCCUUCGGGUUGUAAACCGCUUUCGCCUGUGACGAAGCGUGAGUGACGGUAAUGGGUAAAGAAGCACCGGCUAACUACGUG